CAUCUGAAAUCAAGCAGGACCACCCGCUGAACUUAAGCAUAUCACUAAGCGGAGGAAAAGAAAUUAACUAAGAUUGCCUCAGUAACGGCGAGUGAAGCGGCAAGAGCCCAAGCUGGAAAUCUUCACACUGCGUGUGACGAAUUGUAAUCUAAAGAGGGUUCGCUCAACGGGCGGUGGCGCAGAAGUGCCUUAGAACGGGCCGCCAGAGAGGGUGACAGCCCCGUAUGUGGUGCCACUGCCUAACGAGCGGGUCCCCGAAGAGUCGGGUUGUUUUGUAUUGCAGCCCUAAGUGGGAGAUAAACUUCUUCUAAGGCUAAAUACCUAUGGGAAACCGAUAGCGAACAAGUACUGUGAAGGAAAGAUGAAAAGAACUUUUGAAAAGAGAGUCAAAAGACUUGAAUCGUUGAGAAGGAAGCGGUAGAAAUUUAUUCUUCGGCGGUGAACGGUGACUUCUGCCUAUCCAUUGCCGGGUGNCAGCACUUCAUAAGGCUGCGGCUGGCACAUGGGGAANGGCUGUCUUGUUCU
rnacentral:rRNA from 1 species